AUUGAACGCUGGCGGCAUGCUUUACACAUGCAAGUCGAACGGUAACAGGUUAAGCUGACGAGUGGCGAACGGGUGAGUAAUGCAUCGGAACGUGCCCGGUCGUGGGGGAUAACGCAGCGAAAGCUGCGCUAAUACCGCAUACGAUCUGGGGAUGAAAGCGGGGGACCGUAAGGCCUCGCGCGAUUGGAGCGGCCGAUAUCAGAUUAGGUAGUUGGUGGGGUAAAGGCUCACCAAGCCGACGAUCUGUAGCUGGUCUGAGAGGACGACCAGCCACACUGGGACUGAGACACGGCCCAGACUCCGACGGGAGGCAGCAGUGGGGAAUUUUGGACAAUGGGCGCAAGCCUGAUCCAGCCAUGCCGCGUGCAGGAUGAAGGCCUUCGGGUUGUAAACUGCUUUUGUACGGAACGAAGAGGUUUGGCCUAAUAAGCUGAGCUCAUGACGGUACCGUAAGAAUAAGCACCGGCUAACUACGUGCCAGCCGCCGCCGUAA
rnacentral:rRNA from 1 species